UUGGAUUAAUUAAAAGAGAAGAUUCCUAAAAUUUGAGAGACAAAAUACAUGGAAGACCUGAGAACCUUCCACA